UACGUAGGGGGCAAGCGUUGUCCGGAAUCAUUGGGCGUAAAGAGCUCGUAGGCGGUCUGUCGCGUCUGCUGUGAAAACCUGGGGCUUAACCCUGGGCUUGCAGUGGGUACGGGCAGACUAGAGUGCGGUAGGGGAGACUGUAAUUCCUGGUGUAGCGGUGAAAUGCGCAGAUAUCAGGAGGAACACCGGUGGCGAAGGCGGGUCUCUGGGCCGUAACUGACGCUGAGGAGCGAAAGCAUGGGGAGCGAACGGG
rnacentral:rRNA from 1 species